AAAAUAAAUUACUUUGGGCAAAUAAAACCUUUGAUAGUGGUAGAUGUCAUGGAAAAAGAGAACAGUGUGAAUUUCCCUUUUGUACCAAGCGGUACUAAAAAAAUGAAAAAGUUCAUGACACUGCAACUAUUACUGUGCAGACCCACAUUGUUACAUAUAUAUAUAUACAAUUUUUAGAUAUAUCAUUGACAAAUUGACUCUAUGGUCAUCAUGACUAAGAACAAAAGGCAAAAGGGUCUAGGCCAACAACUGUCAUUAUUAUUAGCUAUAAACGUGGCUGAAUGGAGCUGAGCUACCCAGCAAAUAACGAAACAGGCCCUCCUUUGCUAACCCGACCACCCCCCUCUCCUCCCUCUGCACAACUUUCUUCUGUUUCUGCAAAUAAUGUGGUGGACACACAAGCACACACACACACACAACUUCUUCAACUGCACAACUUUCUUCUGUUUCUGCAAAUAAUGUGGUGGACACACAAGCACACACAACUUCUUCAACUGACCAAUAAAAAAGAUCAGGAACUAAAGAAUGGCCACGAAGUUUCCCCUUCAAGACGAGCUGCACCUACAGGCUUUCUUCAAAAGGCUGUUUACCCACCCUUGCAUCCCUCAUCCAGCCCCUGGCCUACCACAGGCAGUGAGUGCAGCAAAUCGCACAAAAACAGAAGCUAUCGCAGAACAGAAUCAACAAUUAUGGGCCAAUCAAAUCUCUGGGGAGCAGGCCCCUACAUGGAUCCAUGAUUUCACUGGACCCAAACCAGCAGAGAGGAUUAAUGUGGGAGGAGGGAGAGCUGAGAGAGAGAGAGAGAGAGAGAGAGAAGGUGUAAACCCUUGAACCAUGUCCAGUCUGCAGUCUGCUCUGGGUGAGUGACUAUCCUUUGUGAUGCCCCCCCACAGAUUUCCCAUAAUGCUCCAGGCCUACUGGCUCACCAAUUUACUACUGUAGGAGUGAUAUAAGGGAAACAGUACAGGUUAGAGCUGCAUUUAAAUUGAAUAGUAAUGUACAGCAUUAUUGUGUUGAUCACACAGUGUAAAAAUGGUCGGGCUGAAGUGUUCUUGAGUUGACUCAAAUUGACUUAGCUCUCUUUUUCAAUUACUUUAAUUUGUAUCUGCUGGGUAGGCCUCUGGCAGUCGGGCAGUUAGACAGUUGCACCUUUUUAAAGCUGUGUUGGAAAAAGGUAAAAAAGUGCAAUUAUUUAGAACUGUGUUUUCGUAUAGUGUAAUUUUAAAGCUGUAGG
rnacentral:lncRNA from 1 species